rnacentral:rRNA from 1 species
GACGAACGCUGGCGGCGUGCCUAAUACAUGCAAGUAGAACGCUGAAGGAGGAGCUUGCUCUUCUGGAUGAGUUGCGAACGGGUGAGUAACGCGUAGGUAACCUGCCCGGGAGCGGGGGAUAACUAUUGGAAACGAUAGCUAAUACCGCAUAACAGUAGAUGUUGCAUGACAUUUACUUAAAAGGUGCAAUUGCAUCACUACCAGAUGGACCUGCGUUGUAUUAGCUAGUUGGUGGGGUAACGGCUCACCAAGGCGACGAUACAUAGCCGACCUGAGAGGGGGGUCGGCCACACUGGGACUGAGACACGGCCCAGCCUCCUCCGGGAGGCAGCAGUAGGGCAUCUUCGGCAAUGGGCGGAAGUCUGACCGCGCAACGCCGCGUGAGUGAAGAACGUUUUCGGAUCGUAAAGCUCUGUUGUCAGAGAAGAACGAGUGUGAGAGUGGAACGUUCACACUGUGACGGUAUCUUACCAGAAAGGGACGGCUAACUACGUG